UAUAUGAAAACAAAAUUAUUACAUCAACUAAUGAAAGUACAAGAUUUCAACAACUUUUAGUUUGUAAACUACAAACAAAAAUAAAAAGACUCAGUUAUUAUUUCGAAAUGCAUGUAAUAUGCUAUUAAAAUGUAUUAUCUUACUAAUUAAUAGUGUGUAUAAUGUUUUAAUUAUAUAUCUUAUUGUUAGAUAAUUUUUUUUUAUUUUUGUUAAUUUUAUCAUUAAGAAAGACUAUAUUGUAAAAUAUAAACUUUUAAUUUUAAUUUGAAGUUAUUCUUUUGGAGAUGAACACC
rnacentral:lncRNA from 1 species